GAUGAAGAAAGUAGCGAAAUGCGAUAAGUAAUGUGAAUUGCAGAAUUCAGUGAAUCAUCGAAUCUUUGAACGCACAUUGCGCCCGCCAGUAUUCUGGCGGGCAUGCCUGUUCGAGCGUCAUUUCAACCAUCAAGCCCCCGGCUUGUGUUGGGGACCUGCGGCUGCCGCAGGCCCUGAAAAGCAGUGGCGGGCUCGCUGUCACACCGAGCGUAGUAGCAUACAUCUCGCUCUGGGCGUGCUGCGGGUUCCGGCCGUUAAACCACCUUCAUAACCCAAGGUUGACCUCGGAUCAGGUAGGAAGACCCGCUGAACUUAAGCAUAUCAAUAAGCGGAGGA
rnacentral:misc_RNA from 1 species